rnacentral:lncRNA from 1 species
AUCUUGAUGUUGUGAUACAAACCCUUGAAGAAUGUGGAUUUUCACAUGAUCGAUUCUACAUUCAUUGUGAUGGAGCUUUAUUUGGACUCAUGAUGCCUUUUGUCAAACGGGUAAGUUAUCACAUGUAUAGCUCCUGAUUCAUAGAGGGAAGAUAGCAAAGCUCCCUCGUCACAUGUGAGGCAUGAACAUACUGCUCUUGUUCUUCCAAUUUAUUGUUCCUUUCUAGCAAGUUUUAUAAUGUAAGCUGGUAUGGGUUUCCUCUGGUUUUUGGCAUAAAUCGGGGCUAGAUAAAGUGAUUCAGGAAUAGUAGUUCUAAAGAACAGAGAUAAAGUACCAUAAGAGUCCUUUCUUGCUUUUUAUGGUCUGUCUAUGUAUGUGUCAAAAAAUUUAUGAUGUUUGUUGGCAUUCUUAAAAGAUGUGAAAGGAAUCCUGUCUUAAGCUUGAUAUCAUUCUUGGUGGUGAACAGGCACCGAAGGUUAGUUUCAAGAAGCCAAUUGGAAGUGUGAGUGUUUCUGGCCAUAAGUUUGUGGGUUGUCCAAUGCCUUGUGGUGUUCAGAUCACAAGGAUGGAACACAUCAAUGUGCUUUCAAGCAAUGUUGAAUACCUAGCAUCAAGGGAUGCUACGAUCAUGGGAAGUCGGAAUGGUCAUGCUCCUCUUUUCCUUUGGUAUACUCUCAAUAGAAAAGGUUAUAAAGGAUUUCAAAAAGAUGUUCAGAAAUGCCUCAGAAAUGCUCACUACUUGAAAGACCGACUGCACGAGGCUGGGAUUAGUGCUAUGCUAAAUGAACUCAGCAGUACGGUUGUGUUUGAGCGGCCCCGGGAUGAGGAGUUUGUUCGUAGGUGGCAACUUGCUUGUGAAGGGAAUAUAGCACAUGUGGUGGUGAUGCCUAAUGUGACAAUCGAAAAACUGGAUUUCUUCUUGAAUGAAUUAGUUGAAAAACGGUCGACUUGGUAUCAAGGGAAUGUUCAACCUCCUUGUAUUGCAGCAGAGAUAGGGAAAGCGAAUUGCGUUUGUGCUCUGCACAAGUGAAAAAAAAUAUCAGUCUAUGAUUCAGGAAUUCCUCUAUUUUCAUGCAGCUUGUCAUUUGGUUUUAAUGAAAUAUAGAUUAGAUUCAUAAGUUUUUCGUUUUACAUUCUCAUUGUUAUGGUAAAUAGUAGUGCCUAUCGACAUGUUCAUAUGUUGACUAUCUGUCUGCCUUGGUCAGGGGCUUUUGUGUGCGGCUUGUGACAUAUUCAUAUACCAACUUUAUUGAUUAACCUAUGUCUGGUCUUGUAAGGCAUAUGUACUGUAAUGCUCCUACCACACUUCGAUUAAGUAUUAUGCC